CUUAGUACCCGGAGGAAGAAAAAGAAAAUUCGAUUCCCUUAGUAGCGGCGAGCGAAACGGGAAGAGCCCAAACCAACAAGCUUGCUUGUUGGGGUUGUAGGACACUCUAUACGGAGUUACAAAGGACGACAUUAGACGAAUCAUCUGGAAAGAUGAAUCAAAGAAGGUAAUAAUCCUGUAGUCGAAAAUGUUGUCUCUCUUGAGUGGAUCCUGAGUACGACGGAACACGUGAAAUUCCGUCGGA
rnacentral:rRNA from 1 species